rnacentral:piRNA from 1 species
AACUGUGAAUGAAACGUCUGU